GUUUAUAGAGAUUAAAUCCGUGUAAGUACGGAAAAAAAACCGAAAAAAAAGAAUUAUUUAUCCUUUUAAUUUUGACCCGUAAUAGAAAGAAUGUGUUUGUAUUUCUAAAGCAAAGGGAUUAUUAAAGAAAAACAGUAAGUGUACAUUAAUUUCAACGAUUUUCCACAUAGUCAUUUGGCUUAGUGGUGCAUAACAAAGGUACAAUAUAAUAAUCCUGAGUUCGAGCCCGGGGGUAACAAAGGAAAACUUUUUGUCUUUUUUUUUGUUUUCUCAAUUGGUUUCUUCAACUAUUACAAAAUAAAAAAUGUCUCUCCUUUACAAAAAAUAUGCAUUAUUAUUUUUAUACUUUUUACUAUACUAAAAAUACCGUAUCUAGUCACUAGAUGGCGCUAUCACAUUCGUUCCGAAAAAAGUUCGAGUAGCCUAUCUAUUUCCAAUAAUACACUGUAAUCUUUGGUCACAACCACACACAAACAUCAAAUUGAUUUUUUUUUGUUAAAGCCACAGAUUUAUCGGACUCGUGAAAUGAGUGUCAGGCACAGACGACAAAUGAAUUUGAUAAUCACAAACGACAACGAUAAUGUAAAAAAGUAGUUUAAGAUUAGUGCAGUUCUUAGAAGAAUUAUAGUUAUUUACUCUACGGUGGAAUUCAUAGUCGUAGUAGGGGGCCCCUAAGGGGAUUAUUCAGCCGCUAUGUGUCGAAUUCAACCCCUACGCGUUUCAUAGACAAAAGAAACCCCUCAUUUGACAGGAGCUGGCGGCUGACUGCUGAAUUACCGAUAUUUGUCAGCCAAACCAUCCCCUGGCAUUUUUUUUUGUUAUUAUUCGUGAUUUAUUUAUUAAAAAGUGGACUUGGAAAGUGUUAAGACUGUGUAUAAACAGCGAGUUAUAUCAGUAUCCAAGAUAAAUAUUCGCAAUUGCGUAAAUCCAGUUUAAUACUAUGGCGUUAUGGAAUGUACGAAAGAUUCUUAUAUUAGGCAUAAUAUGCCUCUGUUUGAUGAAGAAUGAACACAGAAGACCCAAGAGAGGAAUACCAAUACCGCUAUUAUUAUGCAUUCUAGCAGCACUUCGAUUCUAUGUAACGGGAUGUUUCCAGACUGUAGGUGCAGUCCAUCAAGCAUUCUAUGAAAUAACAGAAAUGCCACAAGUCAAGCUGUAUUGAUGGCACGCAUAGGUAUACAUAUAAACAACUCUGGAGGACCCUAUACACAGAUUUAAAGAAACCGGCUAUCAUGAAUAGCUUUUAUUUAAUAGCUUUUACCGGCUAUCAUGAAUAGCUUUUAUUUUAUAGUAUUCUCAGUAUUCUUGGUAGCUGAGUUUUACCAAGAAUACUGAGAAUACUUUGGUCCUUGAAAAUCCGAGUUUUCAGAUCACAGUAAUUGGAAGACCCACAUACCUUGAAGUCAGCAGCAUUUAAUAUCGAGGUAGUAGGAGUGAGUGCAGUGUAUUGUAAGGUGGUCACUCACUCUGAAGUCCAUAACAAUAGAAAAUAUAUACAAAUCUUAAUUGAAUGAAUGAUGGAAAAUAAAAAUUUAUUGAUUCACAUCUUUAAUAAAGAUAAUUAUUAAAUGUUUACUUCUGCAUUUUUCAUUUAAGU